GCCAGCUAAGGUCCCAAAAUCACAGCUCAGUGGUGAACGAUGUGGGAAGGCUAAGACAGCCAGGAGGUUGGCUUAGAAGCAGCCAUCCUUUAAAGAAAGCGUAAUAGCUCACUGGUCGAGUCGGCCUGCGCGGAAGAUGUAACGGGGCUAAGCUGUGUACCGAAGCUGCGGAUGCAGAGCAAUCUGCGUGGUAGAGGAGCGUUCUGUAAGCCUGCGAAGGUGAGUUGUAAAGCUUGCUGGAGGUAUCAGAAGUGCGAAUGCUGACAUGAGUAGCGACAAUGCGGGUGAAAAACCCGCACGCCGAAAGCCCAAGGUUUCCCACGCAACGCUAAUCGGCGUGGGGGUGAGUCGGCCCCUAAGGCGAGGCAGAAAUGCGUAGUCGAUGGGAAGCAGGUUAAUAUUCCUGCACUUUGAUUCAUUGCGAUGGGGGG
rnacentral:rRNA from 1 species